rnacentral:rRNA from 1 species
GUCUACGACCAUACCACCCUGAACGCGCCAGAUCUUGUCUAAUCUCGGAAACUAAGAAGGGUCAGGCCUGGUUAGUACUUGGAUGGGAGACCGCCUGGGAAGAACUUAGGAGGAAAACU